GGCGGAGCCACCGCGGGACAAGGAGGCCCGAGGCUGGAGCAGCUCUCUUCGCAGGGGGGGCUGGGGAGGGAAAGCCAGAGAGGCCAAAAAUCCGCCGUCGCGGCCCCUUGAGGCUGAAAGCUGGGAGGAAGAAGCGAGUGGAGCGGCGGCAGCAGCAGCAGCAGAGAUGGCGCGGCUGGUGGCAGUUUGCAGAGACGGAGAAGAAGAAUUUCUCUUCGAGAAGCGGCAGAUCCCCCUUUACAUCGAUGACUCCCUGACGAUGGUGAUGGAGUUUCUUGAUAAUGUGCUAAACCUUGAUGGACAUCAGAAUAAUGGAGCACAGCUAAAGCAGUUCGUCCAG